rnacentral:lncRNA from 1 species
UGACAGCUCAGCGCAGUCUAGGCUUCGUGCCGACAAAUAGGCCGUGCUUUCCAGUGGCCCUGCCUGCGGGCCUGAAGGGCAGCACGGAGGGCAGCGGGGCACACAGCGGGGAUGGGCAUGGAGCCAGGGAGGUCUGCCUUCAAAUCAGCGCCUGACCAGGCCCCUGGCAUCCCACACUGGGCUUUUGCGGUGUAAAGACCUGUGGCCCAGCUCCACCAGCAGCCCCAGGUGCACUGAGGAGAGCUGGCAGCAGGGCACGGGGAGCCCUCCUCACCCUGCGCAGGGAACCCCAGCCAUCAUGGCUUUGGCUAGCUCCAGGUCUUCACUGCAAACAAACCUGCUGAAAGUGUCUCCAGCUCUGAACCAAAACCCUCAUUUACUACUAAAAAUAAUGUCAAUGAAUGGAAGAAUUCAUCAAUUCUCCCAGGGAAGAGAAAAGAUGAUCCCAUUAACCUCCAUUACAGCCAUCACCAUUAAGAGAUACCAUUAACCUGCAGUUCCGCACUGUCUUGUUGGAGGUACUACAGUCGUUACUGUAAUUUCGGAGAUGCUCUGGCCAUCCCUUGCAACUCCUGGCAAAUGCUGAUGCUUUACAGGGAAUGCUGCAGCCAAGUACACUGUUGGGUUGGGAGGCCCAAUCCAUGCAGUCUUCCCAAAGCACUCAGGCUGUGCAUGCAGAAGCCUGACCCAAACCGCACUGCAGCAAAUGCAAUGAUGGCUGUGCUUAUCCUCGGGCCUUGGAUUAGAGCUCCAGAACAGGAUCAAGUCCCGCCCCAUAUGAAAUUAUGGGAUCUUACUGCCUUACAAAGUCAUGAGCAGCCACAGUAGAUCAAUACAGAGGACAGUGCAAGUACUAGGAACUUUAAUGGCAGCAUGUUGUCUCGUGGCUGUUUCACUUCCUAAGCAUGGCCUGCUGUGAAAGAUGGAGAGCCUGCAUGAGCAGGGUGGCCUGGCAUCAUCUGCUAGGAUGGUGCCCGCAUGGAAAACAAGUGGAAAUCUCUGGAGCUUUCCUGAGGAAAAGAGCACCCCUGCACCUCCAGGCCCUGCAUGAGAAAUUGUACACUGGAGACCUAUGGAGCGCACAGGGAAAGGGAAACCUGAGAAGAGAACUCUGUAUCAACUUUUCUAGGCUUUCUUUUAUGUCAAGGCUGGCUCACACGUGGCCUGGUGAGGCUGAAGGCGCAGCGCACCACGGCAUCCUGCAGACCCAUAGGGAGAGGCAGGAGCACAAGCAGCACCAGACACUGGAGCCUGGGUCACAGUCAGCCCCUCAGACAGCCUCACUGUUUGUUUAUUACUGUGCCUAG